rnacentral:rRNA from 1 species
CCUACGGGUGGCAGCAGUGAGGAAUAUUGGUCAAUGGGCUUGCGCCUGAACCAGCCAAGUCGCGUGAGGGAAGACUGCCCUAUGGGUUGUAAACCUCUUUUGUCUGGGAGCAAUGGGCGCCACGUGUGGCGUUAUCGAGAGUCCACGUAGAAAAGGCAUCGGCUAACUCCGUGCCAGCGGCCGCGGUAAUACGGAGGAUGCGAGGGUUAUCCGGAUUUAUUGGGUUAAAGGGAUGCGAAGGCGGUCUGUUAAUUCAGUGGUCAAGGUGAGGGGCUAAACCCCGUACCGCCGUUGAAACUGGCAGUCUCGAGUGGAAGAGAAGUAGGCGGAAUGCGUGGUGUAGCGGUGAAAUGCAUAGAUAUCACGCAGAACUCCGAUUGCGAAGGCAGCAUGCCGGCUUCACACUGACGCUGAGGCACGAAAGCGUGGGUAUCGAACAGGAUUAGAUACCCCAGUAGUC